AUUGAACGCUGGCGGCAGGCCUAACACAUGCAAGUCGAACGAGUGGCGGACGGGUGAGUAAUGUCUGGGAAACUGCCUGAUGGAGGGGGAUAACUACUGGAAACGGUAGCUAAUACCGCAUACCAUCGGAUGUGCCCAGAUGGGAUUAGCUAGUAGGUGGGGUAACGGCUCACCUAGGCGACGAUCCCUAGCUGGUCUGAGAGGAUGACCUGCCACACGGGGACUGAGACACGGUCCAGACUCCGACGGGAGUCAGCCGUGGGGAGUAUUGGACAAUGGGCGCAAGCCUGAUGCAGCCAUGCCGCGUGUAUGAGGAAGGCCUUCGGGUUGUAAAGUACUUUCAGCGGGGAGGCGUUACCCUCAGAAGAAGCACAGGCUAACACCGUGGCAGCAGCCGCGGUAAUAC
rnacentral:rRNA from 1 species